rnacentral:rRNA from 1 species
UACGUAGGGUCCGAGCGUUGUCCGGAAUUACUGGGCGUAAAGAGCUCGUAGGUGGUUUGUCACGUUGUUCGUGAAAACCCACAGCUCAACUGUGGGCGUGCGAGCGAUACGGGCAGACUAGAGUACUGCAGGGGGAGACUGGAAUUCCUGGUGUAGCGGUGGAAUGCGCAGAUAUCAGGAGGAACACCGGUGGCGAAGGCGGGUCUCUGGGCAGUAACUGACGCUGAGGAGCGAAAGCGUGGGGAGCGAACAGG